rnacentral:lncRNA from 1 species
GCUUUAUCUCUACCAGCAGGACGACGAAUUGUUGAAGUUUCACUUACAGGAGUUUCAGAGGUUGAGUUGUUUGGAUUCUCAUCUUCCUCGGUGGUUCUUGAUUUUUUUGAACUGCCACGAUCUUCUUCAACAUCAUCUUCAUCAUCAACUGCACGGGCACGCGUACGCUCAGUGCCCAACUUCAGCUCCCAAUUCGGAUGAUGACGCAUGACUUUUUCAAAAACCUCAUGGUGCGUAAACUUAGUUGUUCCAUAAAAAAUUUGCGCUUCCUUCUCAACAUCUGCAUCAGACAUGCCGCUACUUUUUCUGGCAUAUGCUUC